UACAGAGGUCUCAAGCGUUGUUCGGAUUCAUUGGGCGUAAAGGGUGUGUAGGUGGCGCGCUAAGUCGGGUGUGAAAUUUCGGAGCUUAACUCCGAAACUGCAUUCGAUACUGGCGUGCUUGAGGACUGGAGAGGAGACUGGAAUUUACGGUGUAGCAGUGAAAUGCGUAGAUAUCGUAAGGAAGACCAGUGGCGAAGGCGGAUCUCUGGACAGCUCCUGACGCUGAGGCGCGAAGGCUAGGGGAGCAAACGGG
rnacentral:rRNA from 1 species